rnacentral:tRNA from 1 species
GGGAUGUAGCUCAGUGGUAGAGCGUCCGCUUUGCAUGCGGAAUGUCGCUGGUUCGAUUCCUGUCUUCUCC